rnacentral:rRNA from 1 species
UACGAGGGGGGCGAGCGUUGUUCGGAAUUAUUGGGCGUAAAGGGUGCGUAGGCGGUUCCGCAAGUCCUGUGUGAAAUCUUCGGGCUCAACUCGAAGUCUGCACGGGAAACUGCGGGGCUUGAGUCCGGGAGAGGUGAGUGGAAUUCCUAGUGUAGAGGUGAAAUUCGUAGAUAUUAGGAAGAACACCAGUGGCGAAGGCGGCUCACUGGCCCGGUACUGACGCUCAUGUGCGAAAGCGUGGGGAGCAAACAGG